AGGCCUCUGACAGAUCUGGAGCAGUUAUGUCUGCUGCUGAGGUUUCUACUUCAGAUGCAAGAACAAAGUAUUCUCACACUUUCUACCUGUCUGGUUGUGGCAGCCAAGACUGAAUGGGAGAAUACAGGG
rnacentral:snoRNA from 1 species